rnacentral:rRNA from 1 species
ACGGGAGGCAGCAGUGGGGGAUAUUGCACAAUGGGGGAAACCCUGAUGCAGCGACGCCGCGUGGAGGAAGAAGGUUUUCGGAUUGUAAACUCCUGUCGUUAGGGACGAUAAUGACGGUACCUAACAAGAAAGCACCGGCUAACUACGUGCCAGCAGCCGCGGUAAAACGUAGGGUGCAAGCGUUGUCCGGAAUUACUGGGUGUAAAGGGAGCGCAGGCGGGAAGACAAGUUGGAAGUGAAAACCAUGGGCUCAACCCAUGAAUUGCUUUCAAAACUGUUUUUCUUGAGUAGUGCAGAGGUAGAUGGAAUUCCCGGUGUAGCGGUGGAAUGCGUAGAUAUCGGGAGGAACACCAGUGGCGAAGGCGGUCUACUGGGCACCAACUGACGCUGAGGCUCGAAAGCAUGGGUAGCAAACAGGAUUAGAUACCCUGGUAGUCCAUGCCGUAAACGAUGAUUAUUAGGUGUUGGGGGAUUGACCCCCUCAGUGCC